CUGUCCUGUCAUCAAGAACAUAUGACUUAAAAAGCAAAAAGAGGGACAGACUUUUAUGCAUUUUAUACCACUGCUGGUUAACUUUAUGUGACUGCUUAACAAUUUUUAUUGCAUAAGGCAGUUUCUCUUUAAUUAACUGACUCUCACUGAAGCAUCUUUAAAAUGAAAAGAUGUGAUUUUAUGGAGUUUACAGAUGAGAAGAGAGAUGCUUAUUUUCUUUUCAUAUGCAAUUAUUUUGUGGUUUUACCAAGAGUUGAAGCAGUUUUAUCAACAUUAGUUCCCUCACCCUCAGACCACUAUUGCCCUUCAAGUUUUUCUUCUGAAAUGAAUUUAUUUUUAAAGGAUUGAAGAUGACACAUUAACGUAUUUAAACUUAAGUACGAAAUAUGUAAUUGGUUUAUAUAAGUGAACCAAAUAAAUCUGACUUCAUGAUUUGGCAGUAAAAUGUUAUUUCAAAGCUCUAAAUUAUUAUUUAGAUAAUGUGUUCUUUAGGAAACAGGCAUAUUAUUCAUUAGGAGUUUUAGUUUAUUUCAGAAAGUGAAGGCAGAUUAUGUCAGAGUAAACGGAGUGAUUGCUUUUCUUUAGUAAAAACUGAGCAAAGCUUAUCGUGUUUUGGACUUCCAGAAAGAUGAUCAGAAUCCAGUAGAAAUUGCUCUUGUUCUGAACAAAGCUUUUUAGAAUUUUGCUGGAUGAUUUACAGCAUAAUUCUGUUUUCAAUGAAUUCUGAAAAUACUGCAUACAAAGCACAAAGUAUUUGAUAAAUGAGGGCAAAAUAAUAAAUGUGGCCCAUUCAAAACUAUUGUAUUAGGCAAAACCAGCUGUUACUGUUAUAUUUGUCACCAAGGAUUGUUAUUUUAUUCUAUAACAUAAUUGUCUCAUACAUUGUUUGGGACCAUGGCACCAAGCCUCCAAUUGUAUGAGAGGAUUUCUAGAAAAAAAAAAAUUAAAGUCACAUUAAAAGUCUGUUAUAGUAUUGAAUUGAUUAAAAGUUUAAAAUUUAGAAUUAAAAAUUUUUUUUUGACCUAACUUUAAUAAUUAGUUCUGAAAAUUAAAAGACCCAUCUUUCCUAUGUAAGAAAGAUGUGCAGAUGUGUCUUAGAUCAAUGCAUCUCAAAUCACAGUGAACAUAUAAGUCACCUAGAGGGCAGUUUCUCCCUCUGAAGGUUUGGGGUGGAGCCUGAGGUUCUGCAUUUCUAACAACCUCAGUGCCUAGGCUGAUGGUGCACUGGCUACAUUUUGAAUCACUUGGUUUUAGAGGAACAGAAGAAAGAAUUGCUCCCAUUGCCAAACCAGAAAAAUGUAUUCUGCAAAUUGAUAGAUCAAUUUAAUCACAUGUAAAUUGGUCAUGAAGUGCUGUGAUCAGAAAAGGCCAUCAUUCAAUACUCAACUGUUUGCAACUGCAAUAAUGCAUGACAGUUUAACUUGGUCACAUUUUCUAAAAUGUUUUCCUUUUGCAUCCUGACGUUUUGCCAUGACGAGUUUAAACUAGUCUAGGAUGCAGACAUCAAAUAUAAUAAGUUCACGUUCUGGAUUUGCAUGUGGAAGGAAACUUGGAAUGCGUCUUUUCCAAGUCUUUGAACAUAUUUAAGUGAAGUCAUUUUCAUUAAUUACUCUUAGCAAGUAAUUAAGGCUCUGUUUGGAGCUACACACGAAUGCACAUCUUUCAGAUGCUGGAUUUUGCUUGAUACCAUUUUGCAGACAUUCAGACUAGUUACUGGUCUUUCAUAGACACUUGUAAAACAGGAAAGGAAGGAAUUUAAGCAGAACUAAUCCUGUAACUAAUAACAGAGAGGUGUUUUGUUUUUUUUUUUUUAAAUAUUGAACUCUAGGCAUUUAAGAGAAAAUUUCUCUUUCUGCAAAGCUGAUUUUUCCCCCUACCUCUUGAGUAAAAUCAUCUUACACCAGUAAAGGUUAAGGGAAGUAAAUAUUUAUCCCUCUAGUUGCAAACAGAGCAUUUUAACAAGUAAGAGGGAGACUCCUCUGGCCCACAAUGCUGGCUCCAGAUAGAUGGUGCCAGGCGCAAAGGCGUGGGUGGAGGGCUUACCCUGUAGGACUCCUCCUGCUAAACCCAGCCCUCCAGGCAGCUCCUGAGGACAGAGGGCCAGAUGCAAAUGAGGUGUUUUUUUUUUUUUUUCUUUUCUUUUUUUUUUUGAGAACUGGCAGUUUUCUUUGUCUUAUCUGUGGAUGUCAGCAAAGUAGUCAGUCAUUCAAUGUUUUUCUGUCCAAGUUAUUUGUCAUAUUUUGCAUUCUUCAAAGAUCAAGUGUGGGAUCAGUGAUGAGCACCACAAAUCUUUUUGUCUUUUUUUUUGUUUGUUUAAAUCUUUUUAGGGCCACACAAUUGGCAUAUGGACAUUCCUAGGGGUCGAAUCGGAGCUAUAGCUGCCAGCCUACAACAUAGUUCACGACAACUCCAGAUACUUAACCUACUGAGUGAGGCCAGGGAUGGAACAUGUAUCCUCAUGGAUAUUAGUCCAGUUUAUUACCACUGAGCCACAACGGGAACUCCUGCACCACAAACCUUAACUGAAAUGAUACUUUACUAUAAGCUAGAAGAAUGCCAGACUCAGUUACUGGCCUAAAGAGAUUUUUGAUUCACUUGAAACACUCAAAAUGUUACUGUUUCCUCAUUAGCAUGUAGAUCUCAGUUUCUAUGGUAGGAGAAAUCCCCUAAUUACAAAACAAAAGUAAUUAGAAAUAAACUUCCAAGACAGAAAGAACAGAAAUGCCAUUAUACAGUAAGCCACACACCUUGAGAUAGUAUGACCUGAAAUAUUUGGUAUCUGAUACACCCUUGCCUGCCCAUUAAAUAAUAGAGCGUCUACUAAUACUUUAGUGCACAGCAUAUUGUGCACUAAAAUGUAUAUUUUACUCUAAAGUGGAAGGGGGAGUGGAGUUUGGAGUUCCUGUCAUGGCACAGCAGAAACCAACCCAACUAGCAUCCAUGAGGAUGCAGGUUCCAUCCCUGGCCUCACUCAGUGGGUUACGGAUCUGGCAUUGCCGUGAGCUGUGGUGUAGGUCGCAGAUGUGGCUUGGAUCUGGUGUUGCUGUGGCUCUGGUGUAGGCUGGUGGCUACAGCUCUAAUUAGACCCCUAGCCUGGGAAACUCCAUGUGCCACAGGUGUGGCCCUAAAAGGACAAAAUAGACAAAUAAAUAAAUAAAGUGGAAGGGGGAGAAUACAAAACGGUAUACAUUUUGUGUAAUUGAUAUAAUUGCUAUAAACAAAAAAGCAUAGAAAAAUAUCUAAAAUGCUGUCUUGUGGCUCAGUGGGUUAAGAACUUGACACAGUGUCUGCGAGAAUGCAGGUUUGAUCCCUGGCCUCACUCAGUAGGUCAAGGAUCCGGUGUUGCUGCAAGCGCCGAUGGAGGUCCCAGAUCUUGCUCGGAUCUGGCAGAUGUGGCUGUGGUACAGGCUGGCAGCUGCAGAUCAGAUUCAAUCCUUAUCCUGGGAAACUCCAUAUGCUGUGGGUGCAGCCCUAAAAAG
ensembl:lncRNA